CCUACGGGUGGCAGCAGUGGGGAAUAUUGGGCAAUGGGCGCAAGCCUGACCCAGCAACGCCGCGUGAAGGAAGAAGGCUUUCGGGUUGUAAACUUCUUUUGUCAGGGACGAAGCAAGUGACGGUACCUGACGAAUAAGCCACGGCUAACUACGUGCCAGCAGCCGCGGUAAUACGAAUGUGGCAAGCGUUAUCCGGAGUUACUGGGGGUAAAGGGCGUGGAGGCGGGACUGCAAGUCAGAUGUGAAAACCACGGGCGCAACCUGUGGCCUGCAUUUGAAAAUGUAGUUCUUGAGUACUGGAGAGGCAGACGGAAUUCCUAGUGUAGCGGUGAAAUGCGUAGAUAUUAGGAGGAACACCAGUGGCGAAGGCGGUCUGCUGGACAGCAACUGACGCUGAGGCGCGAAAGCGUGGGGAGCAAACAGGAUUAGAUACCCCAGUAGUC
rnacentral:rRNA from 1 species